rnacentral:pre_miRNA from 1 species
CUUGGCACUGAAGAAUUCACAGAUAUAUUUUAAGGUCGUGGGUUCUCGGGUGUCAAAGA